UACGUAGGGUGCAAGCGUUGUCCGGAAUUAUUGGGCGUAAAGAGCUCGUAGGCGGUCUGUCGCGUCUGCUGUGAAAACUCGGGGCUUAACCCCGGCCUGCAGUGGGUACGGGCAGACUAGAGUGCGGUAGGGGAGACUGGAAUUCCUGGUGUAGCGGUGAAAUGCGCAGAUAUCAGGAGGAACACCGGUGGCGAAGGCGGGUCUCUGGGCCGUAACUGGCGCUGAGGAGCGAAAGCAUGGGGGAGCGAACAGG
rnacentral:rRNA from 1 species